UUAGCUGAAAAAGGCUAGUGCCGCCCAAGCUACCCAUCUGUAGGAAUUAUGGCCUGAACGCCUUUAAGUCAGAAUUCCAUGCUGGAAAUAGACGAUAAUCACCUUUCCCGAUGUGCCGCGAAAUAGCGAUAGGUGUCUUCUGGACACCCAACAUCAUACAAUUGCAACGCACUCCGCUGCCUGUCAAGUACUGGCGGUGGAGAGUAGGGCUGAUUUGU
rnacentral:rRNA from 1 species